UACGUAGUGUGCGCGCGUUAAUCGGAAUUACUGGGCGUAAAGCGUGCGCAGGCGGUUUUGUAAGCCAUAUGUGAAAUCCCCGGGCUCAAACUGGGAAUGGCAUUUGGGACUGCAAGGCUGGAGUGCGGCAGAGGAGACUGGAAUUCCUGGUGUAGCAGUGAAAUGCGUAGAUAUCAGGAGGAAUACCGAUGGCGAAGGCAGGUCUCUGGGCUGACACUGACGCUCAUGCACGAAAGCGUGGGGAGCAAACAGG
rnacentral:rRNA from 1 species